AGAGUCCUGAUGUGUUCGUUGUAAAACCUGAAAUUUUGACCAACAUUAUUCCUUCGGGAGUCCGGAGUUUUUCAGCAGCGUAAAUGCCUCUGGAUGAGGACUUACAAACGCAGGAAACAGGACACCCACCUGCUGAGUGCGGGUUCAAAACGAGGGCAUCAACAGCGACGGCACGAUUGGGACUCUU
rnacentral:other from 1 species